rnacentral:rRNA from 1 species
GACGAACGCUGGCGGCGUGCUUAACACAUGCAAGUCGAACGAAGAGAGAUGGAAGCUUGCUUCUAUGGAUCUUAGUGGCGAACGGGUGAGUAACGCGUAAUCAACCUGCCCUUCAGAGGGGGACAACAGUUGGAAACGACUGCUAAUACCGCAUACGAUCUAAUUUCGGCAUCGAGAUUAGAUGAAAGGUGGCCUCUAUUUAUAAGCUAUCACUGAAGGAGGGGAUUGCGUCUGAUUAGCUAGUUGGAGGGGUAACGGCCCACCAAGGCGAUGAUCAGUAGCCGGUCUGAGAGGAUGAACGGCCACAUUGGGACUGAGACACGGCCCAGACUCCUACGGGAGGCAGCAGUGGGGAAUCUUCCGCAAUGGACGAAAGUCUGACGGAGCAACGCCGCGUGAGUGAUGACGGCCUUCGGGUUGUAGAGCUCUGUUAAUCGGGACGAAUGGUUCUUGUGCGAAUAGUGCGAGGAUUUGACGGACCCGGAAUA